CACACAGCCGUGUCUGUGAGUGGCUCUGC
rnacentral:piRNA from 1 species